GUGGCUUAGUUGGUUAAAGCGCCUGUCUAGUAAACAGGAGAUCGUGAGUUCGAAGGUGCGUUCU